CAUGCCAUUUUUGCAAAGGAAAAAAUCCUCCACUUUUGUCCGACCAAACCCGCAGCCCUUGUCCUGUCGCAGCGUCACUCCCCUCCCCGUAGCUUCCCGACGUUGCACUGCUCCCCUCCCCGCUGCGCCGCGCCGGUGAGCUCCUCCGUGCCGCUGAGCUCGCUCACCCCGCUGAGAUCCCCCGCGCCUCCUCUCCCUCCUCCACGCUGCCGCGCCACUCCAGUUCGCUGCGUAACUCCUCCUCUCCCGUAAAAAUCCCUUCUUUCGGUGAGGUUCUCUUCGACGAGGCGCCGCUCGAUCUGGAGGAUGACGACAAGUUGGCGCUCGAUCUGGAGCAUGGCGACGGCAUGGGGCGGGCGCUCUCGUCCUCGAGCUCCUAGUCCACCAGCUCCUCUUCCUCCUCCAGGCCCUCCUCAACAUCACCGGCAACGACGGCAUGGGGAAGACGACGGCGGCGGCUGUGAAAGUCGACCCCAACAAAGGCGGAUCCUCCUCAACAUCCCAGGCUCCUCCUCCUUUAGGUCCUCCUCGUGCUCAUCUAUCUCAUGCCAAGUCUGAAUUUGUACUGCCAAGUCUGAAAUUUUCAUCUUUAUUGUUAAGUCUGAAGUUAGCUGACACGCUUCUCUGACUUGACAUGCUUGAUUUUUUGAUCACUAAGAGUACUACAGCUAGAGUAUAUCUAAAUUUGUAACAGCACAUGUUGACCUUGCAGCAAGUUUACAAGGACAACAUUUCUGUCAAACUAAAGCAAGCAAACACUUAACUGGAUUUGCAAUGACAGGCUCUUUCACCAAUGUGAAAAAAUGAGGGUAAGAACUAACAAUGUGCAUAACUGAAUUUUUGGUUUCACACCAAGAUCUCCUACUCCUGAUCAAUUGAACAAAACCCACUGUUGACUGUACCAAUUGAACAAAGCGACAGGGUACAUUAUGUUGAAGAUUUCCCACUUUAGUGAUUUUUAGGGAGAGCGCUUAAAAAAUUUAGUCAACAUUGAUUUAUGAGGGAGUAGAAUUUUUUACAAAAAUGCUAGUGCUGUCUGUCUGUGCCUUCCAAGUCUACAAAGAGGUACUACUGCAUUUGUGUCAAAUUUGAUUUCGUCUUAAUUUAGAGCUGCGUGUAGUGCCAAACUGGAUGAUGUAGUGCUCUGAAUUUGAAGCUUUAACAGUAUGUAGAUAUAGUCUUGUUCAGAUCUUACUGAAGAAGAGAGAGGGUUAGUAGGCAGGUUACUUCAGAGGCUUUGUUCAGAUCUAACUGACUGAAUAAUUCAUUUAACUUAACAGGGGAUCUAACUGACUGAAUAAGUUUUAGGGACAUGUUUUUAUCAACUCUUAGUUAAGGGAUUGUGGCAGUUUUCUGCAGUCUAUCAGUUUGAAAUUGACUUCCCUUGUUCUUAUUUCUAGAGCAUAGUGACAUAUACUCCAACUAAAUUUCCAGAGCAUAGUGAACAGAAGGAGAACAGCCACAAUCCCUUUGGAGUAUAUCUGCUGCUUGAAGAUGCAUAAUUCAAAUAAUUUCCCUCAAUUGGAGUUUUGUGUUGCUUGAAUUGUUUCUACAGGAAUAAUGUUUCCAAUUUGGCCAAAUCUAGCCUGAAUUUGCUGCUAGUGCUGGGAAAUGCUUAACACUACCCUGUUUUAGUCUUGUUUUUUUGCAAAACUGAAUUUACUAGCACCAUUUUGCAUCUUGCCAUUACUGUCCAAUUGGAAACUUUAGGUAUGUUUGCAAUUGGACAAAUGUUGUAUAAAUUCAAAUAAAGCAAAUAAAUUCAAAUGAUUCAAAUAAAUCCAAAUAAAGCAAAUAAAUUCAAAUGAUUCAAAUAAAUCCAAAUAAAGAAAAUAAAUUCAAAUGAUUCAAAUAAAUUCAAAUAAAUCCAAAUAAAUCCAAAUAAAGCAAAUAAAUUCAAAUGAUUCAAACAAAUCCAAAUACUUCGAUCCUUUCUUUUCCUAUCCUUUCUCAUAGAACACAUGACACAAUACAUUCACACGACACAAGCCAUACACAUGACAUAAUACAUACACAUGACACAUCACAUACUCCUAUCCUUUCUUUUCCUUUUCCCUUUCCCUUUCUUUUUUCUUUCUCUAUCUACUCAUUUCCUUGUUCUAUAAUGGCCUUGGUGUCAGUAAUUAGCUCGGGACUGCAGUAUACACCGAUUAUUUCCUCUCCAGCAUUCUGUAGACGUUCCUUAUGCAGAUGCGGCAUCUUGUAGUUGUUUCCUCCUUGAUCUUUCAUCACUUCCACCAUGACUGCUUGCAACGUCAUAAAGCUUUGGAACAGCUUAUGGGCAUCGUAUUUCUCAAACUCCUCCUCUACACCCUGUACCAGUUCCUGUAUAUUCAUAGGCGCUCUGCAUUCGGUUAGGGAUUGGAGGGAGCAGUGGAAACAAAGAUCUAGAACAUUGAGCUCAGGGCUGUUCGGUGGUUGUUGCAAUAGUCGAAUAUCCAGAUCUGUAUGUGCCACGGCUUCUGGAAAACCAGCAUCAUUAGGGAGAUCAUGCGGUGUUGCAUUAUCUUGUUGAAUGAACAUCUUUGUGUCAUCGUCACUGUCAGGCCAUUUAUCUUGAAUGGCAGGGAUUACUCUAUUGAUCAGGUAAUCUCUGCACACAGGUCUAGUAACUUUGCCGGCCUCAACUCUAUUGUCCCCCUAUCUCUGUCAUGGCUUGUUCGUUGUGCCUCGGUCUCUAUCACGAACGGCCAAAUUCCAAGCUUUCCAUCAAAUGUCAUCUCCCCAUCUUCAUUAUAGCGAGGUUUGGCCACAGCUGUUAGAAACAUUACCUUCCCAAUUCUAUGAGUAUUGUGCACAGUUCGAUUUGGUUGUUCUUCUCCAGGCAGUACAUAGUAGCUACUCUUCACUCGGGUCAUGUCAUACCAUUUCUCAUCGAUGUGGACCAUAUUUGUCAUUAUCUUGAAACUAGGCCAAGGACUUGAUAUCCAUCUUUCAUCCAUCAUGGAUAGGCAGAACUUUAGUCUCGCUAUCUUGUUCUCUGGCUUGAGGGUGGGUUUGAUGGUGCUCGUGAUGCGUUUCAACUCUUGCAACUGAAAUCUGUCAUGUAGGGUUGACUGGGGAACACCUAAACACCUUGCAAGAGAAUGGAUUGUUCUUCUUUUGUUCAAAGAGAUUGUAGUUGUUCCCGACAGAUCUAGUUCUUUCCUCUUCCUACCACUGUUAUUCUUCUUGCUUGAAACAUCAACUUCUUGGCCUGUAGCAAGUUGUCUUUUGGCUAGAUUCCAUAUUCUUGUAACUGUUCGAGGUGAACAUUCAGCAUAGUCACAAUGAGCACCCUGUCAUACACGUGAACAUGUCCAUCUCUAAUCUCGAUUACCCGCAGAGCAAAGUAAACACCAUAUCUCUCCUUGUCUAUCAAGUCCUUCCCUCUUGGGUUGCCUUGUGCAUCUGCUUCUUGAGCUUCUCCCGCUUCGUCUUGUAUCUGUUGAGCUUCUUCCACUAAUGCAUCUUCUUGUGCCUCUUGAGCUUCUUCCACUAAUGCAUCUUCUUGUGCCUCUUGAGCUUCUUCCUCUUUAGGAAACCAAUUCAAUUCAAUGUCUUCAUCCUCCUCUUCCGGGAUCAAGUUCAAAUCAAUAGUGUCACCUUGAUGAGCUUGUUCUUGUUGAGCUUCAUCCUCCUCUUCCGGGAUCAAGUUCAAAUCAAUAGCAUCACCUUGAUGAGCUUGUUCUUCUUGUUGAGCUUCAUCCUCCUCUUCCGGGAUCAAGUUCAAAUCCAUAGUUGUGUGCUCCUGUCUGAUCUCAUAACAAGCGUAUACAAGAGAUGAAUGGUUAGCAUAUAAUUAUAACAAGAAAACCAUGAAGAAUCCUAGACAAAAAGCAAAGAAACCAAGAAAGGGAAAAGUAGAUAUUAAAAGUACUCCUUGUUCAUAAGCUAACUGAAUGUUCUGAAGCUGUCAAUUGUUUUCUAUAGAUUGUGCUAGGAUUUGCACAAAUUUCUGUCAUUGAUCUAACUAAAUGAUCCUAUAUACUGCUAACUGGAUUUUCUGAAGCUAGCAUCCUUUUUUACUACAUACAUAUUUUUUUUGUUUUCAGCAACUACAUCUCCUAUUGCAUCUCUCUUUUUCUUGCAGGGAGCAGGGCCAGGAAUUAAAAAGCAACGAAAGCAGGGGCCAUGAGUACAUCUCAACUUUUACUGUAUUUCUUAUUGACAACUAGUGUAGGUUGCGCAUAACGGCUUACCCGCCCUGGCAAUUUUGCUGCCCUUCUCAUGCAUCCUAGGCCUCUUCUCAUCACUGACCACAACAAGCAUGGUGGCGAGGAGAUGUGUGGAUCUACGCGGCGAUCCAGUUCCUCUUCGUCUUGUUCUUCACGCAUCUGUUCUACAGAUAUCUGCAUCUGCAGGCUGUGAUAUCCAUCAUCCUGACAACCUUACCAUGACACUACUAUUAUUGGACAAUUUUUACACUCAUCUCUACCUGGAGAACAAAUUCCUUAGUGCAAUUAAUCGAUUGAAUUUACACUCAUAUGCAGAUUGCGUAGAAAAAUUGACUGUAUUUUGAUGACUGAAUUUAAAAUCACUACUUGGAGUACACACUGACUGAAUUUAACACUGCAAUUGAUUAUCCUAUGAUCCAUGGACACUGCAAUUGUGCAUUAUCCUAGAUACAGAACAUGGAUCUCUGAAUAAUUCAACAAUUGAGAGGCAUAACAUUUUUUCCUUCUCCCAUUUUAGACCAUAACAACAAAAAUCUGGUCCAGUUGCUCUUGAUGAUGCAUUUAGUUAACUCGUAAUUUUGCCAAAAUCUAGACAAGUUGCUCUUGAUGCAUUCAGUUAACUUGAUGCUAUUAGUCCAGAGAACAUGUUCAGUUUUCUUAAUAGCAGAUCAAUUUUCUUCAGAGAACAUGAUCAGUUUUCUUAAGAGCAGAUCAAUUUUCUUCAGUGAACAUGAUGAGUAGUGUUUGAAAUUGUAAUGUACAGAAAUUGGAGCACCACGAGCAAGCAGGCAGAGGAGCAGAUUUACAGAGGGGUGCUUCUUCUCACCAGCCGCAACACGAGCAGGGGAGCUACGGGCGGAGGAGCAGCAACUUGCACAGGAGCAGGCCUGCUGGGAGCUUGAGGACGAGCUUGAGGUCGAGGCCCACCGGGAGCUCCAGCUCCAGGCGCUCGAAACGCAGGCGCGCACAGGUCCCGGGCGGCGGGAAGGGAUACCGGCGGCGCAGGCCCAGGGCGGCGGGUGGGGAUAGCGGCGGCGCAACCCUGGGCUGGCAGGAGGGGUCACCGCGGGAGGGGAUAGCGGCGGUGCAGCGCCCUUCAGCCCUGGAGUCGCCGCCCAUCGAGGUGGUCGCCACGGAGGAGUAGGUGGCCGGCGGGUGGUGCAACUCGUCUCCGUGCGGGCGGCACGGGUGGGCAGGGGCGGCGAAGGUUCGCGCGGUGGCGCAGGUUGGUCGUCGUCGCGCGCUGGUCUUUGUGGGUGCCAACGGUGGUUGUGGUGACCACGAUAUGCGCUGACGACGGCGGAAGGAGGAAGAAGCAGAGGGGGCUAAUUAGCAUAAGUUUAAAAGAUGAAGGGUUUUUUGAAAAAUUGUAAAUGAACUAAGGAAUGGACAACUUUUCCCGGACGGAGAGAGUAGCUACUAGCUACGGACCCGAACGUUUACAAAACACUACUCACGCAUCAUCGGAGAGGCACCAAUGGAAGUGGUGAACCCCUCCGUGAUGGUGUCUAGAUUGGAUCUGGUGGUUCUGGACUAUGCGGCAGCUGGAAUUGAUUUUCGUCAA